rnacentral:lncRNA from 1 species
CUAUUAGUAUGUACAUUGAAAGAGACAGAGUCUGAAUUAAAGUGAGAAGAAGAUUGGACUUGUCUUUGUUUCUCAUCAUUGAGGACCAAAUUAUAGACAUUGUCAAGAGAAGGAGGAGGCUGCAUCAUCAAAAGAUUACUCCUGAUCCCCAUAUAUGCUUCAUUCAGACCCAUUAAAAACUGAAAGACCUUAUUAUCAUCACUUUCCUGCACUAUACCAUCUUUUGCAGCACAAACACACCUNNN